GAUAAACGCUGGCGGCGUGCUUCAGGCAUGCAAGUCGAACGGGUGGCAGCCUUCGGGCUGUCCACUAGUGGCGGACGGGUGAGUAACGCGUUAGCAACCUGCCCAAAAGUGGGGAAUAACUAACCGAAAGGUUAGCUAAUACCGCAUGUGAUAGCUGGUUCUUGGACCGGUUAUGAAAGGCUUCGGCCGCUUUUGGAGGGGCUUGCGUCAGAUUAGCUAGUUGGUGGGGUAACGGCCUACCAAGGCGACGAUCUGUAGCUGGUCUGAGAGGACGAUCAGCCACACGGGGACUGAGAUACGGCCCCGACUCCUACGGGAGGCAGCAGCUAGGAAUCUUGGGAAUGGGCGAAAGCCUGACCCAGCAACGCCGCGUGGGCGAUGAAGGCCUUCGGGUCGUAAAGCCCUUUUGCAGGGGACGAUGAUGACGGUACCCUGCGAAUAAGCCACGGCUAACUACGUGCCAGCCGCCGCGGUAAAAC
rnacentral:rRNA from 1 species